CUCUUCCGAUCUGGAAAUAGCUCGUACUCCCCGAAAUGCCUUUAGGGGCAGCGUUGUAAUUAAGAGUCUACUGGAGGUAGAGCUACUGAUUGGAUGCGGGGGCUUCACCGCCUACCAAAUCCUGACAAACUCCGAAUGCCAGUAGUAUGAUUUACAGCAGUGAGUGACUGGGUGCUAAUGUCCAGUCGCAAAAGAGGAACAACUCAGACCAGCAACUAAGGUCCCGAAGAAUAUGCUAAGUUGAUCUAACGAUGUUUUGUUGCAGAGACAGCUAGGAUGUUAGCUUGGAAGCAGCUAUUCAUUCAAAGAGUGCGUAACAGCUCACUAGUCGAGCGGCAAAGCGUGGAUAAUAAACGGGCAUCAAGUAUACCACCGAAGUUCUGGGCACGAAAGUGCGGUAGGGGAGCAUUCCAUUCAGCGUCGAAGCAGUUUCGUGAGGAAUUGUGGAGCGUAUGGAAAAGCAAAUGUAGGCAUGAGUAACGAUAAUGCGGGAGAGUAACCCGCACACCGCAAGACCAAGGUUUCCUGAUCAACGCUAAUCGGAUCAGGGUUAGUCGGGUCCUAAGGGUAAGCCGAACGGCGAUCUCGAUGGAUAAUCGGUUAAUAUUCCGAUACUAACAUAUACCUCGAUGGAGAGACGAAGGAACGUAAGUGACGCCGCCUGACGGAAUAGGUGGUUAAAGGGCGUAGGUAUAGGGGCAGAUUAAGAGUUAGUCCUUGCUGAAACCUGACAGUACAGAGAGCCUACGGGCAAUUUGAUAGAGCACCCAAGUCGACUUCCGAGAAAAUCUUCUAAGUUAUAGUAUAUGUUACCCGUACCGUAAACCGACACAGGUGGUCGAGGAGAGUAUCCUAAGGUGCUCGAGUGAAUCACGGUUAAGGAACUAGGCAAAUUAACCCCGUAACUUCGGGAAAAGGGGUCCCUAUGAAAGUAGGGCGCAGCGAAGAGGUCCAGGCGACUGUUUAUCAAAAACACAGGGCUCUGCAAAUUCGAAAGAAGACGUAUAGGGCCUGACACCUGCCCGGUGCUGGAAGGUUAAGAGGGGAUGUCAUCGCAAGAGAAGCAUUGAAUCGAAGCCCCAGUAAACGGCGGCCGUAACUAUAACGGUCCUAAGGUAGCGAAAUUCCUUGUCGGGUAAGUUCCGACCUGCACGAAUGGUGUAACGAUCUGGACACUGUCUCAACCGUGAGCUCGGUGAAAUUGUAGUCCCGGUGAUGAUGCCGGGUACCCGCAACGGGACGAAAAGACCCCGUGAACCUUUACUAUAGCUUAACGCUGAAUUUGGGUACACAAUGUGUAGGAUAGGCCGGAGGCUUUGAAGCGGGCACGCCAGUGUUCGUGGAGCCGACGUUGAAAUACGGCCCUUUGUGUAUUUGAGUUCUAACCCUGCGAAGGGGACACCGUUUGGUGGGUAGUUUGACUGGGGUGGUCGCCUCCAAAAGCGUAACGGAGGCUUCCCAAGGUACCCUCAGCACGAAUGGUAACCGUGCGCGGAGUGCAAUAGCAUAAGGGUGCUUGACUGUGAGACAUACAAGUCGACCAGGUACGAAAGUAGGGUAUAGUGAUCCGGUGGUUCUGCGUGGACUGGCCAUCGCUCAAAGGAUAAAAGGUACUCCGGGGAUAACAGGCUGAUCGCCGCCAAGAGCUCAUAUCGACGCGGCGGUUUGGCACCUCGAUGUCGGCUCGUCACAUCCUGGGGCUGGAGAAGGUCCCAAG
rnacentral:rRNA from 1 species